rnacentral:rRNA from 1 species
CGAACCGUCCAAACGUUAUUCGGAAUUACUGGGCUUAAAGGGUAUGUAGGCGGCGCUGUUAGUCGGGUGUGAAAUCCCUCGGCUCAACCGAGGAAUUGCGCCCGAUACUGCAGUGCUUGAGGGAGACAGAGGUAAGCGGAACUGAUGGUGGAGCGGUGAAAUGCGUUGAUAUCAUCAGGAACACCGGUGGCGAGAGCGGCUUACUGGGUCUCUUCUGACGCUGAGAUACGAAAGCUAGGGGAGCGAAGGGGAUUAGAUACCCCCGUAGUCCUAGCUGUAAACGUUGAGCACUUGAUCGGGGACCCCCCAUAGGUUCUCGGUCGUAGCGAAAGUGUUAAGUGCUCCGCCUGGGGAGUAUGGUCGCAAGGCUG